GGGGAUGCAGUUAUUUAAGCAACAAAGAGGCUUCAUCUCCAAAUUUCACAUUAAUACAUAAAGUAAAACACAAACCACUCUACUUUUUUUUGGUGUUUAAAUAUAAUCUUCAAACCAGAAAAACUCUCAGUCUGCUAACGGUUACUAAAAAUCAAAUUCUGAAGCUAUGGCCACUUUUUAGGAAAUUCAAAAUUACCAGAAAUGAACAGCUGUGGUUUUGCUAAACAAAGAAAACCUUUCCACAAAAUGUCAACAUCUAACUCAUACCUUGAUGGCAUUUCACUCAGUGAGAGUGGAAAAGUAAACAUUUUCUGAAAUGAGGGUGGUUUUCUUUGGCUAGACAACAGCCACAUGGUGGUUAUCUUCUCUUCUAGUUUUACAAUAAGGAAAGAUGGGCACUGACUUAUUUGCUUUGGUUUGACAGAUGAUGGUCAAGCGUAGCUUUGAGAUUAUAUCCUCAUUACCCUUUAUGAAGGAAAACAAAGUACGAUCCAUUUUCCUUGCAGAAAAGUCUUCCCCUUUCUUGCCCAGGAGAUUUUUUAAAGCCAUUACCUCCUUGCCCUCUAAAAGAUAAAUAAAAAUAAAACAAAAUGGGUACUAGGUAGCAAUAGCUUCCUGAGACAAGUUUGAAAAUCUAAACUCAAGGCUAAUAAGAUGUUCAAAGUUCAGUAGCAUCUACUGAAAAAAAGUACAUUAAUGCUACCUUUUAUAUUUUUACUUCCAGACAGAAUACAUAAUGGCGUAAACAUAUGAUAUUCUAGACUGUCUAUUCAGGUAAAUGUUAGGAAGUGCUGGAUGGGCAUAAAAGACUUAAUUGCCUGCUAACACUGCUCUUAACAUCUAGGCUAUUCUGAUAGACUGGGGUCAUUUGAAAGGAAAUGAAGAGUUUACAACAUAAUUUGGUUUUUCACAUUUCUUUUUUAAAGACUUCUGAUCCUGAAGAGAAACAUGGUCAGAUACGGAUUCUGAGGGCCAGUUGCAGUGGCUCACGCCUGCAAUCCCAACAGUUUGGGAGGCUAAGGCAGGAGAAUCUCGUGAGCCCAGCCUAGGCAACAUAGUAAGACCCCAUCUCUCCAAAAUAAAUAUAAAAAUUAGCUGGGCAUGGUGGCACAAACCUGUAGUCUUAGCUACUCAGGAGGCUGAGUCUUAGCUACUCGAGAGGAUUGCUUGAGCCCAGGAGUUCGAGGUUACAAUGAGCUGUGAUCUGUGUUCCAGCCUGGCUGACAGAGCAAGAUCCUGUCUCUAAAACAAACAAACAAACAAACUAAAACAGAUGGUCUAUAUGGUCUAUGAUGUACUAGAGGCCUGGACAAAGGAUCACUUGACUUUGCAAGGUUCAGUGUAUACUCCAGAAAUGAAAUAA
rnacentral:lncRNA from 1 species